CAGUAGCCACGGUAAUACGAAGGGGGCUAGCGUUGUUCGGAAUUACUGGGCGUAAAGGGCGCGUAGGCGGCCAUUCAAGUUAGAUGUGAAAGCCCUGGGCUCAACCUAGGAAUUGCAUUUGAUACUGUUUGGCUUGAGUUCGGGAGAGGUGAGUGGAAUUCCCAGUGUAGAGGUGAAAUUCGUAGAUAUUAGGAAGAACACCAGUGGCGAAGGCGGCUCACUGGACCAUUUCUGACGCUGAUGCACGAAAGCUAGGGGAGCAAACAGGAUUAGAUACCCCAGUAGUCCCUGUCUCUUAUAA
rnacentral:rRNA from 1 species